rnacentral:rRNA from 1 species
GGACCCGCACAAGCGGUGGAUGAUGUGGUUUAAUUCGAUGCAACGCGAAAAAACCUUACCUACCCUUGACAUGUACGGAACUUGCCAGAGAUGGCUUGGUGCUCGAAAGAGAGCCGUAACACAGGUGCUGCAUGGCUGUCGUCAGCUCGUGUCGUGAGAUGUUGGGUUAAGUCCCGCAACGAGCGCAACCCUUGUCAUUAGUUGCACAUUUAGUUGGGCACUCUAAAUGAGACUGCCGGUGACAAACCGGAGGAAGGUGGGGAUGACGUCAAGUCCUCAUGGCCCUUAUGGGUAGGGCUACACACGUCAUACAAUGGCUGGUACAAAGGGUUGCCAACCCCGCGAGGGGGAG